rnacentral:lncRNA from 1 species
UGCCAAAGGAGAAGUACAGUCACGCCGUGGUUGAACUAGCAAUAAAACAUUUCUGCACAGUAGGGCUCAACAUUCAUGAUCUCCUGCCGAAACAGAAUAGCCAUAGUUCUUGUCCUGAGGUGUGACUGGUAAUUUGUUCGUUGUCGACUGAAAUUAUGCAACGUUUGGUUUUCUGACACAGCUUGUUGUCCCUGAGAGCACACAUCCAUUUCUGAGCAGCACAAGAAUGGCCAUCGUCUCUGCAGGGUUGCGUUUUGGAGUAUCAGUCCAUGAGUGCCAAGAAGUUGUCCUUACCGGUGGACAAAUUAAUAGAACCAAGGUCUACGAGAGUGGAUAGAAUGCAGCGGAGACGGUCGAUGGGAUGAACCAUACGCUCAUGUGCAGAAAAUAAAAUUCCCUGCCGUGUUCGCCCCGUCCUCGAUCAAGCUCCUGGCAUUGACAUGGAAGUAGCAUGGUAUGAUUUGGCAGAAGGUUAACGCCCACUUUGACAUGUCUUUCUCCCACUAAGUCGGGUCACAUUGGCAUACCACACAAAAGUCUCACGUUCCGAAUCGAGGGAACCAUACGUACAUGCAAAUCUGUACCGUGACCAGCGACGUAAAUAGGUUUAAAAAAUCGUGCGUCUGCACUAGCGGAAGGUGGAUCCAACUUAAAGAGUUGCUAACAUUCCAAAUCUUAGCAAAGCUGGAUGAAGAUGUAUACUACGAC